CGCCUAACCAACUGAGCCAACCAGGCACCCAACAAGACAAGGAAACUGAGACCGAAGGGACUCACCCAAGACCACCGGCUAGGACUUGAACCCUGAAGAAAGGAUCUUCAGAUAGAUGGAAUGGGAGAAUGAGAGGUGGAGAGGUAACAGAUAUCCAGGGGUUGGGGAGCCAGGGAGGUGUGCUUCCCAUGGAAGGGGAGUGGUGAGUCAUCUCUGAGCCCUCACCGAGCCCAAUGAGCUGCUUGUCAGAUGUGUCAAACUCCUACUCAUGCUUUAAAACCCCAUCUCCCAUGUCCCCUCUUACAUGCAGCUUUCCUUGACACCUCUCCUGGAGCCCCCACUUCCCCUCCAGUUUCCUCCAUCCCUCGUUCAGACUCUUCUUUCUGUCCCGUACUUGCUCACAUAGGGCAGGGGUGGGGGUCUGUGCCCGGCUCUGUCUUUCCAGGAAUGGGCAGGGAUGGAGCUAAGGUCUCCUGCGAGCCAGCAUCUCCUAGCAAGGGAAUGGCCCAGAAGCCAUGUCAGGGAGCAUUUGAGCAAUGAGUAGUUGUGUCAAUGGAUGAAUGAAUGAAUUACUGAACAAGUAAAUCCAUUUAUUCUGUCA